UGUGGGUGUGGCCCUGUAUGGAUGGUUGUGUAAUCUCAGCUGGCAACUGUGAGUCUAACUUCACAUCCUCACGGUGCAAGCUGGGAUCGCUCAAACUUCUCAACUCUGCUUCAGUCCUUUU
rnacentral:pre_miRNA from 16 species